UGACAUGUAAUCGGGGCUGCCUUUCUU
rnacentral:piRNA from 1 species